rnacentral:rRNA from 1 species
GACGAACGCUGGCGGCGUGCUUAACACAUGCAAGUCGAACGGAAAGGCCCUGCUUUUGUGGGGUGCUCGAGUGGCGAACGGGUGAGUAACACGUGAGUAACCUGCCCUUGACUUUGGGAUAACUUCAGGAAACUGGGGCUAAUACCGGAUAGGAGCUCCUGCUGCAUGGUGGGGGUUGGAAAGUUUCGGCGGUUGGGGAUGGACUCGCGGCUUAUCAGCUUGUUGGUGGGGUGGUGGCUUACCAAGGCUUUGACGGGUAGCCGGCCUGAGAGGGUGACCGGCCACAUUGGGACUGAGAUACGGCCCAGACUCCUACGGGAGGCAGCAGUGGGGAGUAUUGCACAAUGGGCGGAAGCCUGAUGCAGCAACGCCGCGUGCGGGAUGACGGCCUUCGGGUUGUAAACCGCUUUCGCCUGUGACGAAGCGUGAGUGACGGUAAUGGGUAAAGAAGCACCGGCUAACUACGUGCCAGCCGCCGCGGUAAUAC